GAGGGCAGAGCUCAGUGGUAAAGCGCCUGCUUGGAUGCAUGAGGUCCUGGGUCCAAUCCCCAGUCCCUCCA
rnacentral:tRNA from 1 species